UACAGAGGGGGCAAGCGUUAUUCGGAAUUAUUGGGCGUAAAGGGCGCGUAGGCGGCUUUGCAAGUGACGGGUGAAAUCCCACGGCUUAACCGUGGAACUGCCUGUCAGACUGCAUGGCUUGAGACCAGGAGAGGUGAGUGGAAUUCCCAGUGUAGCGGUGAAAUGCGUAGAUAUCGGGAGGAACACCAGUGGCGAAGGCGACUACCUGGCCUGUUUCUUGACGCUGAGGCGCGAAAGCUAGGGGAGCAAACGGG
rnacentral:rRNA from 1 species